GGGGCGCUGCAGUCGAGAGGCUUCGGCAAUGGGGGCAACCCUGACCGAGCGACGCCGCGUGAGGGAUGAAGGCCCUUGGGUUGUAAACCUCUUUUGUUGGGGAAGAAAUGCGAUCAGGUGAAUAAUCUGGUCGUUUGACGGUACCCGACGAAUAAGCUCCGGCUAACUCCGUGCCAGCAGCCGCGGUAACACGGGGGGAGCAAGCGUUGUUCGGAAUCACUGGGCGUAAAGGGCGUGUAGGCGGUUUGGUAAGUGAGAUGUGAAAUCCUCCGGCUCACCCGGAGACCUGCAUCUCAAACUGCCCGACUAGAGUAUGGGAGAGGACAAGGGAAUUCCUGGUGUAGCGGUGAAAUGCGUAGAUAUCAGGAGGAACACCGGUGGCGAAAGCGGCGCGCUGGAUCUCUUCUGACGCUGAGGCGCGAAAGCCAGGGGAGCAAACGGGAUUAGAUACCCCGGUAGUCCUGGCCCUAAACGUUGGGUACUAGGUAGUGGACUUACAUGGGUUCACUGCCGAAGCAAAAGUGAUAAGUACCCCGCCUGGGGAGUAU
rnacentral:rRNA from 1 species